GGGUGGUCUCUGCUCCUCUGAUUUUAGAAUAAGAAGGAAAGGAAGAAGGUGAGGGAAGUGGAAAUUCUUAAGAAAGAUCCUGAACAGCUGAAGAAACAGAUUGAGAACUUGGAAAUGAUGAGAAUAUGAAGAUAAAAUGAAGGAGAAGGGUGAGACCCUGUUAUGUUCAGGUGAGGGAUUUCUCCAUUGCUUAAAAGCAACAUUUUAACCCACUUUUUUCGUUGUUAGUUUAUACAUUCUAGAAUGCCUUUUCGGCAUAAGAUGAACAUUACAAGAGAAAGCAUAAUGCUGG